rnacentral:misc_RNA from 1 species
UGUAGGAGUGAGCCUGCUCGCGAUGGUGGUGUGUCAGUUACGGUUGAAUUGACUGACACUCCGCUAUCGCGAGCAGGCUCACUCCUACA